rnacentral:rRNA from 1 species
GAUGGACGCUGGCGGCGUGCCUAAUACAUGCAAGUCGAGCGAACAGAUAAGGAGCUUGCUCCUUUGACGUUAGCGGCGGACGGGUGAGUAACACGUGGGUAACCUACCUAUAAGACUGGGAUAACUUCGGGAAACCGGAGCUAAUACCGGAUAAUAUUUCGAACCGCAUGGUUCGAUAGUGAAAGAUGGUUUUGCUAUCACUUAUAGAUGGACCCGCGCCGUAUUAGCUAGUUGGUAAGGUAACGGCUUACCAAGGCGACGAUACGUAGCCGACCUGAGAGGGUGAUCGGCCACACUGGAACUGAGACACGGUCCAGACUCCUACGGGAGGCAGCAGUAGGGAAUCUUCCGCAAUGGGCGAAAGCCUGACGGAGCAACGCCGCGUGAGUGAUGAAGGUCUUCGGAUCGUAAAACUCUGUUAUUAGGGAAGAACAUACGUGUAAGUAACUGUGCACGUCUUGACGGUACCUAAUCAGAAAGCCACGGCUAACUACGU